GAUGAACGCUAGCUACAGGCUUAACACAUGCAAGUCGCAGGACUGGCGCACGGGUGAGUAACGCGUAUCCAACCUUCCCAUAACUACGGGAUAACCCGUUGAAAGACGGCCUAAUACCGUAUGGUUUUGGAUGGGGAUGCGUCUGAUUAGCUUGUUGGCGGGGUAACGGCCAACCAAGGCGACGAUCAGUAGGGGUUCGGAGAGGGAGGUCCCCCACAUUGGAACAGAGACACGGUCCAAAAUCCUACGGGAGGCAGCAGUGAGUAAUAUUGAUCAAGGGGGGAGAGCCGGAAACAGCCAAGUAGCGUGCAGGAUGACGUCCUAUGGGUUGUAAACUGCUUUUAUGUGGGGAUAGGUACAACAUGAAUAAGGACCGGCUAAUUCCGUGCCAGCAGCCGCGGUAAUAC
rnacentral:rRNA from 1 species